AAACACUACCACAGCCUUGCUUACUGCUAGAAUACGAUAAUGUUCUGUAGCGUCAUGUUAACGCCACGUACUAAUUGCGACCCCAUAACGACAUCGUAAAAAUUAACCAUCUACUAAUCUGUGUGCUAUCGGUCGGUUCAUAUUGCCUUACAGUCAGACGGCUGGCUCCGAAAGGCGAUCCCGCCCUAAGGUUUUCACAAAGGUUACCACGUGUCUCCGAAACGGCCAAUGCUUCUCUCGCGCUUUUCUCUGAGCUCCAAUAUGCUGUUUACCGACCCGUGUCGUCCGGAGCUCUUCACAGCGUAGGACGCUUCUCGUUUGCAUACUGUUCCGUAUUAUCCGUGUGCCGCGACCCGAAUUCCGCAAUCGCGAUCUUUCCAAUUGUAACACACAAAUGAAAAGCACAAAACGAGGUGGGCUCCAGCAGCCCGCACCCCAAUUUGGCUCCGCGGCAGGUACAAAACGUCAAAGAUGUGCCAACAGCAUUCACCGUGCUAAGCGAUGUGUCAGUUCUGACUCUUAUCCGGUCGACCCUUUCUAGUGCCUUUCCUCCUUCCCGUUCGUAAGUCAACCUGAAUAAAUCACGUAUCGACAACCCCUUGCCAGCCAAAACCUUUCGUUAGUAGACAGUAGUCUAUCGGUCUUGUGCUGCACUCGGAGAGGGCGUGGUCGAGUCGGAAGUACUUCUAAAGCCUCUCUCUGAACGAUAACGAAGCGUCGAAUGAUGCGAAAAGAUGAAUGUUCUAAUCCUAUAGUACCUACCCUUGAUUCAUUGACCAGAUGCUCCGCCGGUCGAUUCUGGUGAAAGAAAUUGCGAAAUCUGUGCAAUUGUCAGAGGUAUAAUACUGUAGUGCAAAGUUCGACGACAACGAACUUGCAGUUACUAUUCUGUUUAGGCCAAGCGCUUUCGCUUACGACAGCCAGACGUGGUAAGGCAGUAGGUACAGAAUGGUACACCACGCACACGGUAUCAAAGGAUCACUUCGGUUAGCGGCUGAUCUCCGGGCAAGGUGACGUCAAAUAACCCCCAGAUCACGUGGCAUAACUUCGCUCUACUUCUUUCUAUGAGGCUACCUAAAAGGUGUGCUACGACAAUCCGUCGAUGGCAGACAGGCUUAAGGAGAACACCCGUUCUGCCAUUUCAAAGACAGGACCCGAUUUAUGCGAAAGAACGGCCAAAAACUAGGGUAUUCAGCUCCACUUACUGUCACCGACAAUCUCCGUGAUGACUCGUUUCCAGAAAGCUCUUUCGUGAUUGCUUAGUAAGCUUUGAGGUGAACGGCGAUCUAACUUCGAAACCGCAAGUAGACACACUCUUCAUUUCGUGAACCCUUUCGAGGCAAUGCGUAGCGGCAUAGCCGGACCCAAAACACAGUAGCACAAUCCCGUUAUCAUAAGACUUCUGCAGUACUGGGCGAAAAGCUUUGACAAGUGAUUUUUGCCUUCCUCCAUCAGAUCUAAAUGAAUACCAUCAGGAUGCUCUCUGCAGAAAAUGAAAAGGGAUAGUAACUGGUGCAUCCCGUCUUAUCCACGAGCCCAUAGUAGCAUACUUUUAUAUCGUAGUGAACGAAUUUUAUCUCGAGUCAGGCUUCCAAGCCGGAUGCUCCUGGUAAAAGGAAGUGCCUUUUUUUUCGACAUCUACUCCACAUCGUGUUUCAUCGAUGUCAAGCAGCUGCCGAAGCAGUCCCAAUACAGCAAGAUUACUGUAACUUGUAAAUGAACUUGUUAAGCGUAAAGAUGGAAUUUGAGACCUGCAAGAUGUACUUCGGUCGUCUGAAGUCCUAAUAGACCCCAGAUAACGAAACGACUCGUCAAUUGCCGAGUAGGCCGGAACAGCUUCACCGAUACUGCGUCAUUGUUACAUUCGUCGACAAACAUUACGAUAAAAUCUAAUGUACUUAGGUUCUUUUAUGGAUGCAACGGUAUCGCGACACCUUAGCAUCGCAAGAUUUUAGCUCUAACUAAAUUCCUGCUUUGGAAGCCCUCUGACGUAUCUUAUAGUUCACAAGGCUUAACUGUAUAGUAGCUCAUAAGAGUUUUCGUCGAAUGCUCUGCCAUAACUUUACCUUUAGCGUUUUUUAGAAUAUCUGCUGAUAUGUAAAACUAUCAAUGAAGUUCCUAGAAUUUGUCCUAAAUAGCAUUCGUUGUGGAUUUAAAUAAGCUCAGCUAUAGUAUUUAACUGUCUUGAGUGUGUGUUACGUUACGUUUGCAGUUAGUGCUUAGAUGAAUAGGAUCCGAGAUCAGACCAAACGUGUAACA